AUACGGAGGAUCCGAGCGUUAUCCGGAUUUAUUGGGUUUAAAGGGUGCGCAGGCGGGAGAUUAAGUCGGCGGUGAUAUUUUGCAGCUCAACUGUAAAAGUGCCUUCGAAACUGGUUUCCUUGAGUGUAGAUGAAGUAGGCGGAAUUUGUGGUGUAGCGGUGAAAUGCAUAGAUAUCACGAGGAACUCCGAUUGCGCAGGCAGCUUACUAAACUACUACUGACGCUCAGGCACGAAGGCGUGGGGAUCAAACAGGAUUAGAUACCCUGGUAGUCCACGCAGUAAACGAUGAUUACUCGCUGUUUGCGAUACAAUGUAAGCGGCUAAGCGAAAGCAUUAAGUAAUCCACCUGGGGAGUACGUUCGCAAGAAUGAAACUCAAAUGAAUUGACGGGG
rnacentral:rRNA from 1 species